rnacentral:lncRNA from 1 species
CAAAAUUCCAAAAACAGUAUGCAAACCAACAAAACCCGACCAACAUAACGACUUAGCAAGUCAGCCUUAAUUUCAACGAGGAAAGAAAAACAGCCGAGGUACCCAAGCCCAAUUUCGAGAGAAACAACACUAAAAUAGAUGAACCAAAAUCCUCAAUCAACCGAAUGGAGGACCGAAUCUGGUAUAGUCUGAGCUCCGGUGAACUCAGACGAAGGCAGCAAAUGGCCAACCAAAAUAGAUUCCGGCGAACUCACUAUUUUUCGGCUAGAUUUAGAUAGAGAACAACGGAAGAAAAAAAAUAUUGAGAAUUUCAAACCGAACUUAUCAAACGGACCAACUGCAUCCAC